rnacentral:rRNA from 1 species
AGAGUUGAUCAUGGCUCAGGACGAACGCUGGCUGCGUGCUUAACACAUGCAAGUCGCACGCUGAAGCCGACAGCUUGCUGUUGGUGGAUGAGUGGCGAACGGGUGAGUAACACGUGAGUAACCUGCCCCUGAUUUCGGGAUAAGCCUGGGAAACUGGGUCUAAUACCGGAUACGACCUCCUGACGCAUGUUGGGUGGUGGAAAGUUUUUCGAUCGGGGAUGGGCUCGCGGCCUAUCAGCUUGUUGGUGGGGUAAUGGCCUACCAAGGCGACGACGGGUAGCCGGCCUGAGAGGGCGACCGGCCACACUGGGACUGAGACACGGCCCAGACUCCUACGGGAGGCAGCAGUGGGGAAUAUUGCACAAUGGGGGAAACCCUGAUGCAGCGACGCAGCGUGCGGGAUGACGGCCUUCGGGUUGUAAACCGCUUUCAGCAGGGAAGAAGCGAAAGUGACGGUACCUGCAGAAGAAGUACCGGCUAACUACGUGCCAGCAGCCGCGGUAAUUC